rnacentral:rRNA from 1 species
GACGAACGCUGGCGGCGUGCUUUACACAUGCAAGUCGAACGGUGAAGGUGGAGCUUGCUCCGCCGGAUCAGUGGCGAACGGGUGAGUAACACGUGGGCAACCUGCCCCUAACUUUGGGAUAACUACUCGAAAGAGUAGCUAAUACCGGAUAUGAAGUCUGUAGGCAUCUACGGACUUGGAAAGUUUUUCGGUUAGGGAUGGGCCCGCGGCCUAUCAGCUUGUGGGUGAGGUAGUGGUUCACCAAGGCGACGACGGGUAGCCGGCCUGGGAGGGCGAACGGCCCUACUAGGACUGAGACACGGCGCAGUCUCCUACGGGAGGCAGCAGUGGCGAAUAUUGCGCAAUGGGCGAAAGCCUGACGCAGCAACGCCGCGUGCGGGAUGAAGGCCUUCGGGUUGUAAACCGCUUUCAGCAGGGAAGAAGCGAAAGUGACGGUACCUGCAGAAGAAGCACCGGCUAACUACGUGCCAGCCGCCGCGGUAA